rnacentral:rRNA from 1 species
UACGUAGGGUGCAAGCGUUGUCCGGAAUUAUUGGGCGUAAAGAGCUCGUAGGCGGUCUGUUGCGUCGGCUGUGAAAACCCGGGGCUCAACUCCGGGCCUGCAGCCGAUACGGGCAGACUAGAGUUCGGCAGGGGAGACUGGAAUUCCUGGUGUAGCGGUGAAAUGCGCAGAUAUCAGGAGGAACACCGAUGGCGAAGGCAGGUCACUGGGCCGCAACUGACGCUGAGGAGCGAAAGCAUGGGGAGCGAACAGG